GGAGAAGUACCCAAGAGGCUGAAGGGGACGGUUUGCUAAAUCGUUAGUGGGGGCAACUCCAGCGAGGGUUCGAAUCCCUCCUUCUCCGCCA
rnacentral:tRNA from 1 species